rnacentral:tRNA from 1 species
GGAAGGGUGCUCGAGUGGUUGAAGAGGCACGCCUGGAAAGCGUGUAAGCGUCAAAAGCGCUUCGGGGGUUCGAAUCCCCCUCCUUCCG